GGGCAACUAGCUCAAAUGGUAGAGCGCUCGCUUAGCAUGCGAGAGGUACUGGGAUCGAUACCCAGGUGGUCCA
rnacentral:tRNA from 1 species